UAUCAAUAGUUAUAACCCACAUCAACAAAACUCUCUGAGGAACUCAACAAUUUUAAGAGUACAGAAAGGUGGAUUCUGAGGUCAAAAAGUCUGUGAGCUGAUCUAAUCCCCUAGUCUUACAGAUGAAGAAGCUGAGUUCCAGAGAAGAAAUUGUAUAAGGUUUCAAACUUAAGCCCUUGGACUUGGUAUCCAAUUGACUCAUAUGAAGAGCCUGGACACACCCCAUGCAGUAACUCUUGGUUUCUAAAUUUUGGGUCAAGGGUGAAUGAAUGAGUGUUAUGGAAACAGGUUGAAGCUGAGGGAGAAAGGAGGAAAGAAAGAGAAUGUGGAAAAAGAACAUUUAACCUGGAUAUGAGAUUGAAUCAUGCCUGGUUCUGUACACCAAGGGGAUUCCUGAUCACUUCACUAAGGAGGAGAUUCCCCCAUUCAGAGGCAGCCUCCGGAUACCCGCUUAAUCCAGCUGUGGGCACCAGAUACACUUCAGCUCUGAGCUGGCUUUGAAGGCCCCUUGGAGGGCGGGGAGGCAGGAGCGAGCUCAGGGCCAGCAGGAAGUUUGGAGCCGAGAACUUGUUUGACGACUAAUUCAGUUAUCAGCCCACAGCAGAAGGACCAGAGAAGGCAGGCCCCCAAGGGGCUAGAGCUGAUAAGCUGGUUUUCAGAAAGACACAAGUGAUUGCCCAAGAUCAUGCAGGGAGUAAGCAGUAGCAGAAACAUUCCAACUCAGAUCCUGUGAUUCUUAGUUCAACGGGUCCAUGCUUAUGAAUUUCACUCCGGUGCCCUGGAACUCUUGAUCAUGGAAACUUGGCUCAUGGACAAGAAGGUAGAAGAGUGGGAGAGGGCUUCAUGAACACACAGACAUGUGGGGACAGGUGCCGAGGGAGCAGCAGACUGGCAGGCCUGGGGCACUGGGCUCUGGCCAGGGAGGCCCCGGCCCUUGUUCUUCCCUGCUCCUGCCGAGGAAGUGGGACCCAGAAGGGAACCGAUCUGGGAGCUGACCAGGAAAGAAGCCCAGGCAGGUCUCUACGGACUGAGACAAUCUAGAGUCAGGAGUUAUGUCAUUCUUUGAACAUGGGCCUGGAGGCUCUGCCGCAGGCACAUCUGAAAAAUAAAUAAUAACAGUGUGAAUAAUUCACAGAAACUGUGUGAAUAAUUUACCACAACCUCCUAAGUACCCUGCACAUUAGUCACCGCAGAGCCCAAGGCCCAGACCGAGUCUACCAAGAUCCCACUGCACCCUGCAUGCCGCCUCCUGGCAUCCUGAGGCCAGGCAGAGGGUCUGGUUUGGGGAAGUGUCUGUGUGUAUGUGUGAGUGUGUGAGAAUAUGUGUGUGACUGUGUGUGACUGUGUGUGUGUGUGUUUCCCCUGAUGCUGGGACAGACUGAGGACCAAAGGAGAGGAGAUGGCCCAGGAAGGGUUGGCCAGGGCCACAGCAGCAAUACCUUUGGGCUCAGACAGACGUCAGUGAGUCAUGGAAGACAGAAGGGCCUGGACGUGCUCCAUGAGGCCCUGAAGAGUCAGAUGUUACUGAGGUAACGUGAGCAUCCACAGAGAUCUCUUGUCUGGAUCUGUGCAGAAAUCUUCCAAGAAACCUUAUAGGGAGCAACAGAAACUCUGAGUCUGGGCCGAGACCGGGCCUGGUUCUGGGGAAAGAGGGGAGAGCCUGGGAGAGCCUGGCUUCCUACCCCAGGGAUGGGGUCCUGGGCAGAUGAUGGAGCCCACUGCCUGCCCUGCUGCACAGGAAACUCCAGCCCCGAAGCUCCUUGGGCGGGUCCGAGGCACUGGAAACUGGUACAAAACUCGUAGAGAACAGCGUUGGGGAAGAAGCCGGACUGUCUCUGACCCUUUCCCCUGCAGCCCAUGCUGAGAUGUUCAUUUUUCCUAUUUUCUCUUCCCAGAGAGCACUGGGAACAGGAGGGGGGCCCUUCAAAGACUGAGCAUCACAAUAACUCAACUCUCUUCAUCUGAUGGAUAAUGAAAGUGACUUGCCCAAGGUUGUUCUGUUGUGGAAAAUUUCUCUUUGGGCCCUGCAAAUUCAGUGCCCCUCCUGGGGCACCUGGGAGAUGAGGUGGCAGGGAGGGAGAAAGGCGAGUAUCAGACCAGUGAAAGGUCCUGUGUCAAGAGCAGUGAAGGGACUGCAUCGGCUGAACUGGGAAGUACAUGAAGGGGAGCAUAUAAUGAGGCUGGAACGGUAGUUUGGAGCCUGGUUACAAAGGACUUUAAAUGCCAUAAAUAGGACCAUGGGCCGCUAGAGUAGGGAGGGACCCAGGCUCAGAGAAAAGUGAGUCACAAAGCCAGCUCACAGGAGAACCUGGGAUGGAUGGAAACAAUUACUCAGUUCUUCAGCACAUUUAUUGAACACCAAUUGGAUGCGGGGCACCCAGCCGAGUCCUGGAGGGUCUCUGUGUGUGAGAGAGACAAAGCCCGAAUAGCGCGCGGUUCUUUCGCUUGCUGAGCUGGUCGUUUUGAAAGAGAAAAAGAGACAAAUACAUUGGAUGCGUGUCAGUGAUGAGGGCAUUAGAGAGGUACAAAGAGCGUCAGGUGAUGUCUAAGAUUGAAGUCGGGUGAGGAAGGCUUCGUGGAGGAGCUGGCGUUUGGUUCGGACUUAGAAGGAUGGUGAGGAUUUCAACGAGCCAAGGCUGGUAAUUCUGAGCAAAGUUAAGGGCUGAGCAAGACAAACAAUACAUUUAGGGAACAGAGAGUCAACUUUGAAGGCAAGAAACCCCUGGUUCAAAUCCUGCUUCUGUUGUUGGCAGGAAAAUUUACCUAACCUCUCAGAGUGUCAUUUUAUUCAUUUGUUAAAUAGAAAUGAUAAUAAUACUUGUAGAGCCCACUCCACAGGGUUGUUGAAGGUCAAAUGAGAUAAUGUAUGUAAAAUCCUCUGCAAACCUUAAAGAAUACAUAAAUGUCAGCAAUUGCUAUUCUUCUCUUCCUUAACCCUUCUCCUUUUUUAUUUCUCUCAACAAAAACUCAAACUGGGGCAUGGCCAUGAAUCCAAGUUUGGGGUGUGGGUUAGGAUGUUGGGGGUUAAGAAAAAUUAAUCAGAAUUUUAUUCCCAUCCCCCUGAGGGAAGGAUAAAGGAAGGGGUCACAGUGGCAUGAAUCCAUAGGUAAAUUGUACCAGCCAGUUUGUUUAUCUUAUCUGGCACACUUCUAAUUGGCAUAUUCCAAGGGGCAGAAGGUUUUCUUAUCCUGGAUUGGUGCAGUUGCAAAAGGCACCAGAAUAGCUUGUUUAUUCUGGAGUACAAAGGAAUGUACCCUAGAGAGAAGGGGGAGGGUGGGCCAAGAAGCCACUCAAGGUCACUUUGCAAGGCUUGGCUAAGGUGCCCAGUUCCUGGUCGGGCCUCCCCAUGUUGUGAUGUAUACCAGAAAAAGGACAAAAGGGACUCAGGGUGGUUAUGUCACUGAGUCUUACAAGCCCUUGGUGGAUUCUUUAUUCUGAUAUCAAUUUAUUAUAAUCAGAUUUUUGGUGGUAUAAACCAUGCCCCUUUUCCUUGAAUUCAGUUAUUUAUAAAACUGAGUUGAAUUGAGGUGAAAGAGGGCUCAAGAUAGGACACAAUCAGGAUGUGAGGUAUGGACAAUGGAUGGGUUGAGUAUCUUGGCCAAAGUGUUCCUUAGCCUGGAGUCUGGGACUCUCAUGCUCCAGGACAGAGAAAAUGGUCUAGUGGAGUCCCAGCUAUAGAAGUUGCAGCCAGAUAGAUUCCUCUCCCAUCAGGGAUGGUUGAGAGCCAUGGAGAAUCCUAGAUUCUUCCCUCUUCCAUUUCUAUCUCACAGCUCACAGGUGCUUUUUCUUAAUGUAUAUUUGAUUCU